GACGAACGCUGGCGGCGUGCUUAACAAAUGCAAGUCGAGCGGAGCGGCGAACGGGUGAGUAAAGCGUGAGUAACUGCCCCCCUCUCUGGGAUAACAGUUGGAAACGGCUGCUAAUACAGGAUAGUGGGGGAUGACUCGCGCCCAUGCAGCUUGUUGGUGGGGUAGUGGCCUACCAAGGCGACGACGGGUAGCCGGCCUGAGAGGGAGACCGGCCAUAUUGGGCGAAGAUACGUCCCAAACUCCGACAGGAGGCAGCAUGUGGGAAUAUUGCUCAUUGGGGGAAACCCUGCUGCAGCAACGCGCGUGCGGGAUGACGGCCUUCGGGUUGUAAUCCGCUUUCAGCCAUGCCGCGGUGGUGGCAGAAGAAGCACCGGCUAACUACGUGCCAGCAGCCGCGGUAAUAC
rnacentral:rRNA from 1 species